rnacentral:rRNA from 1 species
GAUGAACGCUAGCGGGAGGCUUAACACAUGCAAGUCGAGGGGCAGCACGAGGUAGCAAUACUUUGGUGGCGACCGGCGCACGGGUGAGUAACGCGUAUGCAACCUGCCCUGUACUGGGAGAUAACCCGGAGAAAUUCGGACUAAUAUCCCAUAAUGAUAUUUGGAGGCAUCUUUGAAUAUUUAAAGUUCCGACGGUACAGGAUGGGCAUGCGUAACAUUAGCUAGUUGGCAGGGUAACGGCCUACCAAGGCAACGAUGUUUAGGGGUCCUGAGAGGGUGAUCCCCCACACUGGUACUGAGACACGGACCAGACUCCUACGGGAGGCAG